rnacentral:rRNA from 1 species
GACGAACGCUGGCGGCGUGCUUAACACAUGCAAGUCGAACGGAAAGGCCCUGCUUUUGUGGGGUGCUCGAGUGGCGAACGGGUGAGUAACACGUGAGUAACCUGCCCUUGACUUUGGGAUAACUUCAGGAAACUGGGGCUAAUACCGGAUAGGAGCUCCGGCUGCAUGGUGGGGGUUGGAAAGUUUCGGCGGUUGGGGAUGGACUCGCGGCUUAUCAGCUUGUUGGUGGGGGAGUGGCUUACCAAGGCUUUGACGGGUAGCCGGCCUGAGAGGGUGACCGGCCACAUUGGGACUGAGAUACGGCCCAGAAUCCUACGGGAGGGAGCAGUGGGGAAUAUUGCACAAUGGGAGGAAGCCUGAUGCAGCAACGCCGCGUGCGGGAUGACGGCCUUCGGGUUGUAAACCGCUUUCGCCUGUGACGAAGCGUGAGUGACGGUAAUGGGUAAAGAAGCACCGGCUAACUACGUG